CGCCGCGUGAGGGUUGACGGCCUAUCGGGUUGUAAACCUCUUUCAGCAGGGAAGAAGCGAAAGUGACGGUACCUGCAGAAGAAGCGCCGGCUAAACUACGUGCCAGCAGCCGCGGUAAUACGUAGGGCGCAAGCGUUGUCCGGAAUUAUUGGGCGUAAAGAGCUCGUAGGCGGCUUGUCACGUCGGAUGUGAAAGCCCGGGGCUUAACCCCGGGUCUGCAUUCGAUACGGGCAGGCUAGAGUUCGGUAGGGGAGAUCGGAAUUCCUGGUGUAGCGGUGAAAUGCGCAGAUAUCAGGAGGAACACCGGUGGCGAAGGCGGAUCUCUGGGCCGAUACUGACGCUGAGGAGCGAAAGCGUGGGGAGCGAACAGGAUUAGAUACCCUGGUAGUCCACGCCGUAAACGUUGGGAACUAGGUGUGGGCGACAUUCCACGUCGUCCGUGCCGCAGCUAACGCAUUAAGUUCCCCGCCUGGGGAGUACGGCCGCAAGGCUAAAACUCAAAGGAAUUGACGGGGGCCCGCACAAGCAGCGGAGCAUGUGGCUUAAUUCGACGCAACGCGAAGAACCUUACCAAGGCUUGACAUACACCGGAAAACCCUGGAGACAGGGUCCCCCUUGU
rnacentral:rRNA from 1 species